rnacentral:rRNA from 1 species
AUACAGGGGGUGCGGGCGUUAAUCGGAAUUACUGGGCGUAAAGAGUACGUAGGCGGUUGCUUAAGUCAGAUGUGAAAGCCCCGGGCUCAACCUGGGAACUGCAUUUGAAACUGAGUGACUAGAGUUUAAGAGAGGGGAGUAGAAUUCCGGGUGUAGCGGUGAAAUGCGUAGAGAUCCGGAGGAAUACCAGUGGCGAAGGCGGCUCCCUGGCUUAAAACUGACGCUGAGGUACGAAAGCGUGGGUAGCAAACAGGAUUAGAUACCCUAGUAGUCC